CCUUAUUACUUGAUUAAAUUUUCUUUUUGCCAUUCUCGGUAUUAGUUUUAUUGUCUAUGUAUAAAGUUGCAUAAUACAUACGUUAUUACCUAGUAAAAAUGGUUUUGGAGGUAGGUUCAAAAAUGAGAUACGAGUUUAGAACAUAUAAGGGAGAAAAGUUGUCUUAAAUGGGUUAGAAUGAAAGUAUGAUGCUCUCAAUUCAUAUAGGCUCCUUGUCAUCCCUAGCAUCACUGACUGAAAAUUAAGGUUUCAUUGGAUACGUAGAUUUGAAAUAUAUAAAUUUCAAAUUCUUAUUACAAACUAUCAAAUAUGUUGGGAUGACAAAUAGAAAUAAAUGAUUUGAAUCAAGGCAAAUCACUCAUUGACCUUCCACCUUUGAGGAUGACGAGCUCCUCAUGAACAUCCUCUCCAUUUGUCAAAGGCACAUAGGACGAGAACAACUUCUUUUCCGAGCAAACAUGGCAUGUGGUGCCAGUAUCCACUCACAAUUCACUUGGCUUUGAUCCCAACAGGUUCACCUCAUAUGUGCACAAAUCCACAUCAUCCGUCUCUACCAUAUGGGCUUGGGCAAGCCUCUUCCCUUUUCGCCUUGGCCUGCUUGCUUUUGUAAUCAGUUGCACGAUGCCUUUCCUUGUCGUAAAUGAAGCACUUGCCAAGAAAAGACAUACUUCUUGGAAACACCCCCUGUCACAUCCCAACUAAAAACAACAUAAUUAAUACUAAUUAGGUGGGAUGUGAAUCGCACAGGCCACCAUGCCCCGAAACGACUACUGAUUUCUUCACAAUCAAAGAAUAACAAUGAUAUUAUUAAAACUUCACUAAAAAUUAAAAACCAAAACUAUAGAUUAACAUAUAUCUACGACAUAUAAACAUACCCUUUGUAAAGUUAAUACAUUAUACAACCAAUGUAAAACUGACAAAAUUGUAUAAAGGCGAGAACUAUCCGAGUUCUGCCCAACAACAUCCAACUCAACCAGAAGCCACCAGCUAGGGGACUAGACCACAGUAACCAGAUGUAUCCAUAUCUCCUUCACCUGACAAAACAAUCUGGUGGGUGUGAGCUAAAAUAUCACGUGCUCACAAUAGAUAAUCAAACUCAUAAAGAAUAAUAUAAAUAAAUAUCCACCAUAGAUCCAAAAAUAGAUAGCAACAUGAUUUAAAGAUCAACAUGCUCACGAUAGAUAAUCAACCUCAUAUUCAAUGAUAUAAAAACACAUCCACAUUAGAAUAUCCAAUAAUGACUAAAUGUCCAAUGCAAAAAUGCCUCAACCCCCCAAUGUGCGCACAAGUUUAGAUAACGUGGCUCAAAUAUCGCCGGCUCGUUAUCCCACGGAAUGCCGCCUACUGUCACAUCCCUCAGGAAUGCCCACUACUGUUCACAGAUCCCUAGACAAAUCCCUCAUGUACUAAGCCUUCCUUCCUCCAGUGCAAUGCAAACACACAAGAUAAUGAUUUGCAUUGCCACCAUCCUCAUAGAUAUAUUAAUCUCACAAUCGUAUAAAAUACACGCAAUCAUAUGAAAUAAGACUAAUUAUCAUGUACUUUAUUUUUUCACCUGCCACCCCGGAUGAAAGUCCAUGUAUAUCAGUAAUCAACAAUUAUACAUAUAAUCAUCUCAUAAAUAUAAUCAACAACCAUCAAUCAUGAUCACCUCAUAGAUAGAUUGUUACUCAUCACCACAAUAAUAUCAUUGUUCACCUCAUAUAUAUAAUAUAUAUAUAUGAAGCAUGAUCAACAUCCACAAGUCCCAUCAAGGCGUCAAUUCAGAUAUGAAUAGGAUCAUCUAUAUCCCCAUAUAUCCACCACCUGUUACCUCUACCCGUCAUACCAAUGAGUCACUCCUCUCCGUUACAACAGGUACUUUGAUCCGCUUUAUCACCUAUAACAAAUAAUUUCACAUAAUUAAUUCAAUCCUAUACUGUAAUCAAUCUACCAAUGGAUUCGCAUAAAAUGUUACCAAUUACACCUAAGAAAAUUUUCAAACGAUCGGACCAUGUUUCAUCACCGUGAUCGUUACUAAUCAUGUGCUCAUUAAAAUCACUACCGAUCAACACUUUUGCAAUUCGUUAUUCUACUUUCGAAUUUGUCCAAACUGAACCCCAUAUUAGAUUCAAAGGCUGAAACCCAUUGGAACGACUAUCACAUGAUAAAAAUUCAUUGCCGUUUGACAAUUGUUUUUGGAAAAUAAGGUUACACGAAAAGUUUCCUCUAGUCGCGACCACACUAGAUUAUUUCCAACUGGGCAGCCAUUCAAGCUUCUUAGGCAGCUCCAACUGCUCUGUUUUGUUUGUUUGUUUUUUUUUUUUUUUCUUUUUAUUUAUACCUCAAGUCUAAAUCCAACUCUCUCAAAAAAACACCAUUAUCCCAACCAUCACCUAGCAAAAGUCCGUGCAAAAAUAUAUGAUUAACACCUAAAUAUUAGGAACUCUUUAAUCAAACUCUACAUAGAUAAAUAUACAUAUACAUGUGUUUAAAAAAUCUUAAACUACACAAGAAAUCA
rnacentral:lncRNA from 1 species